AUUGAACGCUGGCGGCAGGCCUAACACAUGCAAGUCGAACAAGUGGCGGACGGGUGAGUAAUGUCUGUGAAACUGCCCGAUGGUGGGGGAUAACUACUGGAAACGGUAGCUAAUACCGCAUACCAUCGGAUGUGCCCAGAUGGGUUUGGCUAGUAGGUGGGGUAACGGCUCACCGAGGCGACGAUCCCUAGCUGGUCUGAGAGGAGGACCGGCCACACGGCAACUGAGACACGGUCUAGACUCCAACGUGAGGCAGCAGUGGGGAAUAUUGCACAAUGGGCGCAAGCCGGAUGCAGCCAUGCCGCGUGUAUGAAGAAGGCCUUAGGGUUGUAAAGUACUUUCAGCGAGGAGGCGUUACUCGCAGAAGAAGCACCGGCUAACUCCGUGCCAGCAGCCGCGGUAAUUC
rnacentral:rRNA from 1 species